CGAAGCGAACCUGUUGGUAAUCGGUUGUUGUCGUAAAUAACUGGGGAAAUAAUGAUGUCCAUGGAACAAACAUUGGAAGCUUCUUCGAGUCUUGAGUCGGGCACCGGUGGAGGCGAUUGUACAAGCGACAGGGCACCGACGGGUGACCUCGCUAGCCAGCGAGUUCUGGGCUCUACGCAGCGUAGCACUGAUCGUCAUCGGUUUGCUCUCGAUGCCACCGAGGCAGAGGUGACUACGCGCUUCACGAUCUGCUGCGCCCUCACCACUACCUUAGUCGUCAUCGUGCUCUUCGCAAUCACCGGCUCCGUCUGGUACCGCUACGUGCUGCGGCCCAGCCUGCUGUUCGAGCGAACGACGAGAACCCGAGAGGAACAGCGCCAGGUCGUGGUUGUAGUUGUCGAAGCUAGGAACAUCACGCCACUGGCACAAUCCAUGUCUGCUCACGUCGGUCGCAACCACUCUCGCUCGACCGGGGCAAACACUGCGGCUACUACUACGCCAUUGCGCACUAUGCCGAACGGUUCAGUCGCCAAUGCGGCGACGUUGACCUUACCUGAGGAGUUGCUACCUGCGCCCUUGUAACAGCGAGGGCACGCCCAAAGGUCACGAAUUAGCGCUACAUGACAUACUACUGAUAAACAAUUCGUUGCAGUGCAUCGUGUGACUUGUGCUGACUCGCAUCUGCACAUUUUCGUUUUAUUGAGAGAAGAAUAAACAGAGGAGUUGUCGCCGUUUGCUGGCAA